rnacentral:rRNA from 1 species
GACAGAGGGUGCAAACGUUGUUCGGAAUUACUGGGCGUAAAGCGUGUGUAGGCGGCCGCGCAAGUCGGAUGUGAAAUCCCCGGGCUCAACCCGGGAAGGGCACCCGAAACUGCACGGCUCGAGUACCGGAGAGGUUGGUGGAAUUCUCGGUGUAGAGGUGAAAUUCGUAGAUAUCGGGAGGAACACCAGUGGCGAAGGCGGCGACCUGGGCCAAUAUUGACGCUGAGGUGCGAAAGCGUGGGGAGCAAACAGG